GACGAACGCUGGCGGCGUGCUUAACACAUGCAAGUCGAACGAAAAGACGGAAAGAGCUUGCUCUUUUCAGAAUUGAGUGGCAAACGGGUGAGUAACACGUAAACAACCUGCCUUCAGGAUGGGGACAACAGACGGAAACGACUGCUAAUACCGAAUAAGUUCCAAGGGUCGCAUGAUCCAUGGAAGAAAAGGUGGCCUCUACCUGUAAGCUAUCGCCUGAAGAGGGGUUUGCGUCUGAUUAGCUGGUUGGAGGGGUAACGGCCCACCAAGGCGACGAUCAGUAGCCGGUCUGAGAGGAUGAACGGCCACACUGGAACUGAGACACGGUCCAGACUCCUACGGGAGGCAGCAGUGGGGAAUCUUCCGCAAUGGGCGAAAGCCUGACGGAGCAACGCCGCGUGAGUGAUGACGGCCUUCGGGUUGUAAAACUCUGUGAUCCGGGACGAAAAGGCAGAGUGCGAAGAACAAACUGCAUUGACGGUACCGGAAAAGCAAGCCACGGCUAACUACGUGCCAGCAGCCGCGGUAAUACGUAGGUGGCAAGCGUUGUCCGGAAUUAUUGGGCGUAAAGCGCGCGCAGGCGGCUUCCCAAGUCCCUCUUAAAAGUGCGGGGCUUAACCCCGUGAUGGGAAGGAAACUGGGAAGCUGGAGUAUCGGAGAGGAAAGUGGAAUUCCUAGUGUAGCGGUGAAAUGCGUAGAGAUUAGGAAGAACACCGGUGGCGAAGGCGACUUUCUGGACGAAAACUGACGCUGAGGCGCGAAAGCGUGGGGAGCAAACAGG
rnacentral:rRNA from 1 species